rnacentral:lncRNA from 1 species
AUGGUUGGAAUAGUUGGAGCGGGAGACUAGGGCCUCCGCUGGCGGCGGGAGCGGGACGGGCGGAGGAAUGCGAGCUGAGGAACGGAAUCAGGUUCUAAGAGUGUUGCUCUCUGUUUCCCUCUCACUUGAAUUGCUCAUCCGAAAAUCCUCAAGAUCUGGGAGCCGGGUGGACCAGGAGAUUCUGAAAUUAUAGGCAAAAUCUUGUAUUUGCCUUUACCUAGAUUUUGAGCACAAAAGGACCCUUGCCCUUUACAAUAUUUUCUAAGAGGCCUCUCGGAUUUCCUCAUCACCAACCCCAACCAGGUUACUAACUCAGGGAUUCCAGGGACUAACAGUAAGCCAUCGGAGAGACCAUCAAAUCCCACCCCCUCAUUUGACAGACAGGAAAAGGAAAGCCUGCAGAAGACAGGUGGCUUGCCAGAGAUCACUCGCAGGUUAGUGUUGGCAUUGGCACUUGAACCCAGGUCUGGACUCCUGCUUUCAUGCUCUUUCCACCUUCUGCUCUAAGCCUUCCACUGGGGCAGGGAGACAGGCACCCACAGCCACUCCCCAACUCCCAUGUGCUGUUUCAGAAGAUUAACCAAAGCAUAUUUUCAUCCAUGCUGGGUACAAGGGAGCAGGCAAUUCUGAGCAGGCCCAAGGAGGGUCCUUAGUGCAGAAAGUCCAGAAAUAGGGAGGCUGCCCAUCCUCCCCCAUUUUGCUGUCUAGCACAGCACUGGUGCUGUGAGUGUCUGAAGUGGCGCCAGCUCCCUUUCCCACAGAAAAGCGGCAACCCUUUUCCCUCCUUAGGAAACCACACUUGGGUUUCCCCAGCUGGCUGGAUGAUGGUCCUGGCAAAAGGUCACUUCUAGUCUGGUAUCCAUUAUCAUUAGGAAGAGUGAAAAACUGGUCUAUGGGGACCCAGGGCCUCCUCAACCCAGACAGAGAACCCACAAACUCAGAAAGGAGACCGACAGUGCAGGGACUGGGUUAGUGCCCUAACAACAUUGUAGGGUUUUUUAAGGGUUUACAACACCAUAUUUGUUAUCCGAAAUUCUCAUAGAAAAUGGAGCCAUCAACUAGGGCUGUUUAUCAGGUUAUCCUGAAGUACUGUUUCUGCUAGAAAGGCAAGAUACGUGGUUACUGGUAACCUCUUUUUUUCCUUUUUUUUUUUUUUUUUCUUGAGAUGGAGUCUCACUCUUUUGCCAGGCUGGAGUGUAGUGGUGCAGUCUUGGCUCACUGCACCCUCCACUUCCUGGGUUCAAGCGAUUCUUCUGCCUCAGCCUCCCGAGUACCUGGGACUACAGGCACGCACCACCACACCCAGAUAAUUUUUUUUUUGUAUUUUUAGUAGACACGGGGUUUCGCCAUGUUGGGCAGGAUGGUCUCAAUCUCUUGAGCUCGUGAUCCACCCACCUUGGCCUCCCAAAGUGCUGGGAUUACAGGUGUGAGCCACUGUGCCCCGCCUUUUUUUUUUUUUUUUUAAGACAGAGUCUCACUCUGUUGACCCUGCAGCCUCGAACUCCCGGGUUCAGGUGAUCCUCCCACCUCAGCCUCCCAAAUAGCUGUGACUAUAAGCGCACACCAUCACACCCAGCUAAUUUUUGUAUUUUUUGUAGAAAUGGGGUUUCACCGUGUUGCCCACGCUGGUCUCAAACACCUAGGCUCAAGGGAUCCACCUGCCUUGGCCUCCCAAAAUGCUAGGAAUACAGGCGUGAGCCACUUCGGCUUUGUGUUUUUUCCAACUUUUUUUUUUUUUUUGAGACAAGGUCUUGCUCUGUCAUGCAGGCUGAGUGCAGUGGCACAAUCACAGCUCACUGCAGUCUUGACCUCCUGGACUCAAGUGAUCCUCCCACCUCACCCUCUCAAGUAGCUUGGACUACAGGUGUGCCACCACACCGGGUACCCUAACACUUCAAUAACUGUUUUCUCACAAACAAAUGGCUUUCUCAUUUGAGGCUCAAGUAGAAUUAAGCUAGUAUAUAAGAUCAUAUAUACACAUAUAACUGCUAGAACUGGCAGAUUACCAACUUACUUUAGAAUUUAGGAGAAAUGUAUUAAAGUAAUUUAAAUUCCUUCUACUAAGGAUUGAAAAAGCUUUUGGAAAAAAGAGGAGUGACAGUAGAGAACCUUAUAGGACCUUCAUUUCUUAAGUGUCCCAUAAGAUCCUUAGAUGAUGAUGAUUAUUAUUAUUAUCAUUUUUUUUUUUGAGAUGGAGUCUCUCUCUGUCACCCAGGCUAGAGUGCAAUGGCACAAUCUCGGCUCACUGCAACCUCCACCUCCCGGGUUCAAGCGAUUCUCCUGCCUCAGCCUCCCAAGUAGCUGGGAUUACAGGUGUGUGCCCCCAUGCCCAGCUAAUUUUUUUUUUUUUUUGAGACGGAGUCUUGCUCUGUUGCCCAGGCUGGAGUGCAAUGGCAUGAUCUCAGCUCACUGCACCUUCCGCCUCCUGGGUUCAAGCGAUUCUCCUGCCUCAGCCUCCCAAGUAGCUGGGACUACAGGUGCCUGCCACCACGCCUGGCUAAUGUUUUGUAUUUUUAGUAGAGACGGGGUUUCACCAUGUUAGCCAGCAUGGUCUCGAUCUUCUGACCUCAUGAUCCGCCUGCCUCGGCCUCCCAAAGUGCUGGGAUUACAGGCGUGAGCCACUGUGCCUGGCCUCGCCCAGCUAAUUUUUUGUACUUUUAGUAGAGACGGGGUUUCACCAGGUUGGUCAGCCUGGUCUCGAACUCCUGACAUCAGGUGAUCCACCCACCUCGGCCUCCCAAGGUGCUGGGAUUACAGGCAUGAGCCACAGCACCCGGCCUCUAAAAAAUUUUAUCUCUAUCCCAGCAACUAGUUUCUUUUCCAGGAGACAUCAAUUAUUACUAUAUUCUCUUUUUUUUUUUUAGGUGGAGUUUUGCUCUUGUUUCCCAGGCUAGAGUAUAGUGGCACCAUCUCGGCUCACUGCAACCUCUGCCUCCCGGGUUCAAGCAAUUCUCAUGCCUCAGCCUCCCAAGUAGCUGAGAUUACAGGCAUGUGCCACUACGCCUGGCUAAUUUUUGUAUUUUUAGUAGAGAAGGAGUUUUACCAUGUUGGCGAGGCUGGUCUUGAACUCCUGACCUCAGAUGAUUCACCCACCUCGGCCUCCCAAAGUGCUGGGAUUACAGGUGUGAGCCACCAUGCCAAGCCUAUUAUUACUAUUCUCUUGCGGAAUCUUCUAUAGACUAUUUCUGCAUAUAUGAUCAUACAUAUAUAUAUUUCAGCACUUUCCUGUUUUCAGUUAUUAAUAUGUUUUAUGGAUAGUUCCAUAUCAGUACAUGUAGAACUGCCUUGUUUUCCAAUGUAUACGUCUACUAUAUUUGUUUAACCAGUUCCCUAUCAAUGGACAUUUACAGAUUACAAUUUAAAUCUCAUGGGGGAGGAGUUGCUGAAGACAAGUGGGAUUUUUUUGUUUUUGUUUUUUGCUUUUGAGGCAGGAUCUCAUUCUGUUGCCUAGGCUGGAGUGCAGUUGCUCAAUCAGGGCUUACUGCAGCCUCGAACUGCUGGGCUCAAGCAAUCCUCCCAACUCAGCCUCCAGAGUAGCUGGGACCACAGGUACACACCACCACACCUGGCUAAUUUUUAAAUUUCUUGUAGAGACAGAGUCCCAGCCAUGGGGUUUUGCCACGUUGCCUAGGCUGGUCUUGAACUCCUGGGCUCAAGUGAUCCUCCCGUCUUGGCCUCCUGAAGUGCUGGGAUUACAGGAAUGGGCCACUGUGCCCAGCCUCAUCAGGAAAGUAUUUCUAUACCACUUCUUCAAACAGGAAUGUCAGAAUUUGUGGAUGAGUCAAGUUAUGUCCCAGGGGUAGUCCAGUGAAUACAUCUCUGACUCAUUUAAUGCCUCCUUAAUGGAUGAUUUCUGUAAAAGGGCCCUACCCCUGCAUGCCUAUGUUGGAGAAAAAUCUGCAUCAACAAGUUUCUCUCACAUUCCUUUUCUUACUAAAUGCCAGCUAAGUCCAACAGGGGGCAUGCUGAGGCAUAUUGUACUAGCUCCACCAGCACAGAUGCCGCAAACUGGAGCAGAGCAGUCCUUUCCAGAGCAUUUCACUCCAUUCCAGUGAAAAUAAGCAGUUUCUCUUCAUUUGUAACUGCAUUCAGCAUGCCAUUGCCUGCAUUCAGGGUUGUUGGUUUGCAUUUUCCAUUGCUCACUCUAUUUGCUUGCUGAAAGGCACACUGUUCCAUUGUGUGCUUUCAGCCACUGAGACAGAAUCCAUAAAAGGGAUAGUGAGGUAAAAGCAAACAACCCCUUUGGCCCAGAAAAAGGACACCAGGAUGCAACAUGUCAGCAGUUAGAAUCUUACAGGGUGCUCUAUCGUAUUCUUCCAUCCAUCUACUUGUUCAAUAAAACAUGACUACUUCGCACUAGCCAUUUACUGGGCUAGGGACUUUAAUGAGGAUAAAUCAAGUCUAGUCCUUUUUUUUUUUUUUUUUUUUUUGAGACGGAGUCUCACUGUUGCCCAGGCUGGAGUACAGUGGCGCCAUCUCAGCUCACUGCAACCUCUGCCUCCCAGAUUCUCCUCCCUCAGCUUCCCAAGUACCUGGGAUCACAGGCACCCACCACCACAUCUGGCUAAUUUUUAUAGAGUUGGGGUUUCGCCAUGUUGGCCAUGGCUGGUCUUGAACUCCUGAUCUCAGGUGACCCGCCUGCUUCGGCCUCCCAAAGUGCUGGGAUUAUUGGCGUGAGCCACUGCACCCGGCCUUUUUUUUUUUUUUGAGACGGAGUCUCGCUGUGUUGCCAGGCUGGACUGCAGUGGCGCGAUCUUGGCUCACUGCAACCUCCGCCUCCCGGGUUCAAGUGAUUCUCCUGCCUCAGCCUCCUGAGUAGCCGGGAUUACAGGCACACAGCACCAUGCCCAGCUAAUUUUUGUAUUUUGAGUAGAGAUGGGUUUUACCAUGUUGGCCAGGCUGGUCUCAAACACCUGAUCUCAGGUGAUCCACCCAAAGUGCUGGGAUUACAGGCAUGAGACACCACGCCUGGCCACCCCCAGCAUUUUUUUUUUUUUUAAAGACAAAGUCACAUUCUGUUGUCCAGGCUUGAGUGCAGUGGUGCGAUCUCAGCUUGUUGCAGCCUCGACUUCCUGAGCUCAGGUGAGCCUCCUAUCAGCCUCCCAUGUAGUUGGGACUACAGCUGUAUGCCACUACACCUGGCUAAAUUUUUUUUUUUUUUUUUUUUUUGUAGAGAUGGGGUUUUGCCAUAUUUCCCAGGCCACUCUUGAACUCCUGGGCUCAAGUGAUCUGUUCACCUCGGCCUCCCAAAGUGCUGGCAUUACAGGUGUGAAACUCUGCACCUGGCCAGAUGCAUAGUGUCUGACACAGCUGAAAGCUCCCCCCCAGCAUAGGGAAAGCAGUCACUACUCUCAGGAAGAGUGGGGAAGGGUUCACAGGUGAGGGUAGGUACAAAGGAGGGGGAAAGGACCCCCUCCCAAACCCAGUAUCUUGCGGUGUGAAAGGGCACUGGGGAAUAGCCAAGCACUGCUCAUCUCCUCUUAUCAUGGUUCUGCCAUAAGUCUUAUCAGUUUACAUUUAGGGAGAUCCAGCAAAGGGUGUAAUAUGUAAUAUGUUCUGUUCAGUUUUGGAUCUGUGCUGGGAGAGAUCCCAGGGAGACUGUGUGUUUUGUUAAUAAUAAACAGCUGGGACAAAUGAUGUGUCUUCACAUUGGGACAACCGUCUCACAUGGGAGGCUAGCCCUCAGCAGCUGGCUCACAGCUGCCACAAACAACAGUGAUUUUUUUUUUGCCAGUUUUAUAGGCACUAUUCUUGUCUCUCUGAUAUACAUAUAUGAAAAAUGCCUAUAAUAUUUGUAUGUUUCUCUUUCUCAAAAUCCCUUCCUUUCUUUGCCUUCAAAUAUUAAUAUAUAGGGUAACUUCCCUGAACCAGAAAACAGUCAAAAUUAUUUAUUAAGUGCUAAUUUAUGCAUAGUUUGGUGCUAGAAACCAUCCAAAGGACACAACCAGCACUUUUGCUGUGGAGUGGGAAUUUUAGUUUCAGAGAAGCAGUGAUUCAGGCUAACAAACAGAAAAUACAAAAAAACAGGAGAAGGGGGCUGCAGAAAAUAAAGCAAAAUACAUACAGUUUUACCAGCGUGGGCAAAGUGGUAAAACCCCGUCUCUACUAAAAAUACAAAAAUUAGCCAGGCAUGGCAGCGUGUGCCUGUGGUCCCAGCAACUCGGGAGGCUGAGGUGGGAGGAUUGCUUGAGCCCAGGGGGCAGAGGCUGCAGUGAGCCAAGAUCGCACCACUGCACUCCAGCCUGGGUGACAGAGUGAGAACCUGUCUCAAAAAAAAAAGCAAAACUAAGAAACCCUAGAUUCCACCAAUUGUUUCUCCUUUUCUUUCUUUCUUUCUUCUUUUUUUAUGUUGUUGCCCAGGCUGGUCUCAAACUCCUAAGCUCCUGCCUUUGCCUCCAAACUGUUGGGAUUACAGGCAUGAGCCACCACACCCAGCCUUUUCUAAUUUUAUUUGAACUCUGAUUUAGCACUGCUGACCAAUUUAUCUUUGAGAUUCUUCCCUCUUAGCCUUGGACACUGUACUAUUUUUAUUUACUUGUCCCAUUUGCUAGCUUAUUUUUUCUUCCUUUCAUUUUCUUUUUUUAAAUAGCUUUAUUUAUUUAUUUAUAUUGAAACAGGGUCUUGUUCUGUUGCCCAGGCUGGAGUGCAGUGGCAUGAUCACAGCUUACUGCAGCCUCAACCUCCCAGGCUCAAGCAAUCCUCCUACCUCAGCCUCCCAAGUAGCUGGGACUACAGGCAUGCACCACCACACCUGACUUACUUUUGUAUUUUUGUAGAGACAAGGUCUCACUAUGUUCUCCAGGCUGGUCUUGAACUCCUGAGCUCAAGCGAUCCGCCUGCCUCAGCCUUCCAAAGUGCUGGGGUUACAGGCAUGAGCCACUGUACCCAGCUAAUUUUCAAAAAUUGUCGUAGAGAUGGGAUCUCGCUGUUUCCCAGGCUGGUUUCAAACUCCUAGGCUCGGCUUCCCAAAGUGUUGGGAUUACAAGCAUAAACUGGUACAUUUGGACAAAAAAAAAAAAAAAGCUUUUAAUACUGCUUUAAAAGGUUAAACAAUAUAACUUUAUUGAGGUAGAAUUCACAUACCACACAAUUCACCUAAAGCAUACAAUUGAAUAGAUUUUACCAUAUUCACAAUGUUGUGCAAGAAUCAACUUUCAUCAGCCCCCAGAAAGCCCCCGACAAAGAAAAAACACUAAAGGGAGACUUUAUCCUAAAGAAUGUUUGCAAGGAGGGGAAAAAGACUGUUGCAAUACGGGGAGGGAGUCUAUUGCAAUAGGGAGAAGGAUCGGCCCAUAGUUCUGCAAAUGUCUUAAGGGCCAGACCUUUUUCCUUUUAUAGAGAGGAGUAAACAAAGCUAGAAAGAACCAGGUGUAGAGAAUAGGAGGAAAGUGGCCUGAUGAGAGAAUAGAUCAGAGAAUGUUUUACCCUGAGGUCAGGCUAUCCUCAGGAGGGGUUGUGUGCUGGCUCAGGCCCAGUGAGGGUGGGCCAGAGUUCAGGGCCUGGAGGAAGAAGAAAAGCUUAAACAAAAUGUGUUAUUUUUUUUUUUUGAAACGGAGUUUCGCUCUUGUUGUCCAGGUUGGAGUGCACUGGCGCUAUCUUGGCUCAUAGCAACCUCCGCCUCCCAGGUUUAAGAGAUUCUCCUGCCUCAGCCUCCCGAGUAGCUGGGAUUACAGGCAUGCGCCACCAUGCCCGGCUAAUUUUUUGUAUUUUUAGUAGAGACAGGGUUUCUCCAUGUUGGUCAGCCUGGUCUCGAAGUCCCAACUUCAGAUUACAGGCUUAAGCCACCGAGCCCAGCCUUUUAUUUAUUUAUUUAUUUUUGAGACGGAGUCUCACUCUGUCACCCAGGCUGGAGUACAAUGGCGUGAUCUCGGCUCACUGCAACCUCCGCCUCCCGGGUUCAAGUGAUUCUCCCACCUCAGCCUCCUGAGUAACUGGGAUUACAGACACACGCCAUCAUGCCCGGCUAAUUUUUGUAUUUUUGUAGAAACGGGUUUCACUAUGUUGGCCAGGCUGGCCUUGAACUCCUGACCUCAGGUGAUCUGCCCACCUUGGCCUCCCAAAGUGCUGAGAUUACAGGUGUGAGCCACCACGCUGAACCAACAAAAUUUGUUUAAUGAGCAUUUUGUUCAUCGUGAUCAGUGUUGGGAAAACCAGUUUAGCUGGUCAUUCAUGAGGCAGAGAAUAAGAAUUUGAAGUUCUGUGUCUGUUCCUGUCACAGGUAAACAAUGGGGGGCAUCUGCGAGUCACAUGGGGAAGGGUGGUUCUUGGCAGUAAACAAAAACAUAGGGGAUUCCUUUAACCUUGGAUGUUUUCCAAGAGCACAGGGCUCAGGUGAAAUUCACCACUGUUACCUCAUACCCAUUAGCUGUCACUCCCCACUCCUCUCUUCCCUGUCCCCUAGCAACCAGUAAGUUUUAAGUCUCUAUAGAUUUUCCUGUUCUGAACACUUCAUAUGAAUGGAAUCAUACAAUUUGUAGCCUUUUGUGUCUCGCUUCUUUUACUUAGCAUGUUUUCAAGGUUGAUCUAUGUUGUAGCAUGUAUCAAUACUUCAUUCCUCUUUAUGGCUAUAUUCCGUUGUAUAAAUAUGCCCCAUGCUGUUUAUCCAUUCAUCAGCUGAUGGACGUUUGAGUUGUUUCCAUUUUUUUGUUUUUUUAAGAGACAGUCUCCCUGUUGCCCAAGCUGGUGUGCAAUGGCACAAUCAUGGCUCACUGCAACCUCAAACUACUGGUCUCUAGCCAUCCUCCUUCCUCAGCCUCCCAAGUAGCUUGGACUACUGGUCACAACAGGCUAAUUUUUUUUUUAGACGGAGUCUUGCUCUGUCACCCAGGCUGGAAUACAGUGGCACAAUCUCGGCUCACUGCAACCUCUGCCCCCUGGGUUCAAGCAAUUCUCCUGCUUAAGCCUCCCGAGUAGCUGGGAUUACAGGUGCGCAUGACCACGUCUGGCUAAUUUUUGUAUUUUUAGUAGAGACGGGGUUUCACCAUGUUGGUCAGGCUGGUCUCGAACUCCUGACCUCAUAAUCCACCCACCUCAGCCUUCCAAAGUGCUGGGAUUACAGGCGUGAGCCACCAUGCCCCGCCUAAACCAAAUAUCUUUCCUCAAAAGCUAGAAUGCUUCUUGGCUUAUUUCUGUUGAUGGUGGGACCGUCCUAUCAAACACCAGAGACUCCAACCUUAGAAUUAUAUUUAUCUCCUCUCUUUCUCUCAUCUACUAAAGCAAAUGAAAUCCCAGAUCCUGCCUUCCUUCCUUCAUUAUCACUCCCCUGUAAUUCCCAUUUCUGUGACUGUCUGUCUGAUCCUGUUGUUACCAGCUGAUGGCUGUUACUGUACUUUCCUAGUUUGUCUCUGUGUCUCCAACCUUUUCCUUCCAAUUCAUAAUGCAUUUUAGAAUGAAAAUUGAUUUGAAAAACUGUAAAUGAUAGUUUGGAAGGUGCUGGGACUAGAAAAAAGGAGAUCUAACAGGAGACUACUGCAAUAGUCCCAGCAGGGGAAGAUGAUCAUUUGAACUAGAGCAUUACGGGGCACAGAGAGAGGACUGAUGGGUGAGCACUAUAGCAUGAAAACCAUUAGGGCUUGAUGAAUGAGUACAUGUAGAUACUGAAGGAGAAGGAGGAGUCUAAAAUAUUACAAUUUUGGCUGGGUGCAGUGGCUCACGCCUGUAAUUCCAGCACUUUGGGAGGCCAAGGCAGGCGGAUCAUUUGAGGUCAGGAGUUCAAGAUCACCCUGGCCAACAUGGUGAAACCCUGUCUCUACCAAAAAAUACAAAAACUAGCCGGGUGUGGUGGCGCAUGCCUGUAGUCCCAGCUACUUGGGAGGCUGAGGCAGGAGAAUCACUUGAACCCGGGAGGUAGAGGUUGCAGUGAGCUGAGAUCACGCCACUGUAUCCCAGCCUGGGUGACAGAGCAAGACUCUGUCUCAAACAAACAAACAAAUUGGCAAAUAAAGAGAAUCAAUGAAGCAUUAAUCCUACCUUUUCUGGCCGGAUGAAGUGGCUCAUGCCUGUAAUCCUAACACUUUGGGAGGCCGAGGCAAGAGGAUCACUUGAGGUCAGGAGUUUAAGACCAGCCUGGCCAACAUGGUGAAGCCUUGUGUCUACUAAAAAUACCAAAAUUAGCCGGGCGUGCUUGUGCACACCUGUAAUCCCAGCUAUUCGGGAGACUGAGGCAGGAGAAUCACUUGGGCCCAGGAGGCAGAGGUUGCAGUGAUCACUCCAUUGCACUCUAGCCUGGUGGACAAGAGUGAAACUCUGUUCCAAAAAAAAAAAAAAAUCUUACCUUUUCUGUUUGGAUUGUACCUCUGUGUAACCAAAUAGCGGCUGGGUGAAGGAAAGCACUUAUUUAUAAAAUAAUUUCAGCUCAUAAAUAAAGAAGGAAUGAUGGAUUAAAAUGUCACUAUUUUGUAGCCUCUAGUGAAAAAAUGAGCUAAUGAUCAUUAAUGCCCGCUAAAACUAUUAGGCAGAAAAUUGUGGGGAACUCUAUUAUAUCAAAGUAACAACUCAACCCACUCACUAA